rnacentral:rRNA from 1 species
CCCUUAGAUGUCCUGGGCCGCACGCGUGCUACACUGAGUGGAUCAGCGGGUCAGGUUGCGCGAAAGUGUUUCCUAAUCUUGAAAUCCGCUCGUGAUGGGGAUUGACGGUUGCAAUUUUCCGUCAUGAACGAGGAAUACCUUGUAAGCGCGGGUCAUCAUCCCGCGCUGAAUACGUCCCUGCCCUUUGUACACACCGCCCGUCGCUCCUACCGAUUGAGUGGUCCGGUGAGGCUUUGGGAUCUGAGCGGAAAGAGCGUUUCGCUGUUUCUGCUCGGAAAACUCAGUCGAACCUUAUCAUUUAGAGGAAGGAGAAGUCGUAACA